rnacentral:rRNA from 1 species
CAGUGAAUAAUUUAACGGCCGCGGUACCCUAACCGUGCAAAGGUAGCGUAAUAACUUGUCUAUUAAUUGUAGACCCGUAUGAAAGGCACAAUGAGGGUUUAUCUGUCUCUUUUAGUAAAUCAAUUAAACUGAUCUCCUAGUCCAAAAGCUAGAAUACAACCAUAAGACCAGAAGACCCUGUGAAGCUUUAACUAAACUAUCAAACCCAAUGAUGGCUCCUUUAGGUUGGGGCGACCUUGGAAAAAAAAAGAACUUCCAAACAUANUAAUCUAUAAAAUUACACACCCAGGCCAACAAGCCCACAACGACCCAGCAUAGCUGACAAUUGAACCAAGUUACUCCAGGGAUAACAGCGCUAUCUUCUUCAAGAGCCCAUAUCAAAAAGAAGGUUUACGACCUCGAUGUUGGAUCAGGACAUCCUAAUGGUGCAGCCGCUAUUAAGGGUUCGUUUGUUCAACGAUUAAUAGUCCUACGUGAU